GUGCCCUUAGUGUAACUGGAUAGCACAUGAGAUUUCGGUCCUCAUACUCGGGGUUCGAACCCCCGGGGGCGCA
rfam:Lactobacillus secaliphilus strain DSM 17896 NODE_20, whole genome shotgun sequence.